CACACGUUAUAAAAACCAUAAACCACACAUUUCUGUUCCCUGCAGGUCCCGAGGACGGACCUUCAGACAGGCAGGAAGGUGGGUUGUGGGUGGAGUCUGGAGGGCUAGGGGGUGGGGUCUAAUGAUCACGCUCAGAUGAUUCUUCUUUCAGCAGUUUGUGGGACGUCCAGUCCACCUCAGCCAUCUGAAUAUGGUGCAGGCGGGGCUUCCCAUGACAGCAGCAACUCCGAUGAUGUCACAGGUGCUGAAUCGGCUGAGAAGUCAUCAGUAGAAAGCCAAGAUUCCAGUGAUUCCUUGAGGUCAAAGGGCAGAGGCAGAUUGGAUGAAACUCGCUCAGUGAACAAGGAGAACAUCUCUGCUGAACGCAGGAACAGUGCUGACGACACCGAAGAACCGAACUCUCCCGAACAGACAGAUUUAGGUUCAGAGGGCAGAAGCAGUGAAGAGGAGGACAAGAGGGAGGGGCUGAAGGAGGGACAGGCAGGAGGGGGAGGAGUCCGCACUCCGGAGGCACACAGUGAAGAGGCGGAGCCACGAGGUCGAGGGAGAUCAAGGAGGAGGGAGACGGGCAGAGAGGAUGACAGCGCCCCCCAGCACACGGACGUGGACACGGGAGUGAGGAGAUCAGCUGGACAAGUGACAUGUCUCUCCACCCUGAGACCGGAAUUUGAAGUGAAGAAUUGCCCAUAAUUCCCAGCAAAGGCACCAGGAGAGCCCCAGAGCAAUCAAACACAAGUGCAGUGGGCGGGGCAGACGUCAUCGUCUAACAAUGGACAACCAAUCAAAAAGAAGCACAGUAUCAGGCCGGUUUCACAUAGAUAGCUCGCUGUAACUCAGGUUGAUGUUGAAUGUGC
rnacentral:lncRNA from 1 species